AUGGGCUGCUCUCCUGGACCCAGCAGCGGCGGCAGGAGGCCCCGGUGUCCUCUCGGCGCCUCCUCCUCCGAGACUCUCCUCGUCGCGCCCGGGAGCCUCCUUGUCCCCGGUCCGCCCUCUCCUGGCGCUCGGGUCCUUCUGCCGCCGCCAGGGGCUCGCCGCGCCGCACUCCGGGGCUCAGGGGCCGGGCGUUCGGCGGCUCGGCGCCGGCGGACUGGCUCUGUCUGGGGCAGCUCUCUCCCGCGCGGCGAGCGGACCGAGCACGGCGCCCGGCUGGCUCGACUGGCGCGGCUCGGGGACAAGAUCUUCAGUGCGCCGAGCAGCAAGCGAGUGUGCCCAGGACUCGCCGCCUCCCGCAAGGCCUCCCGCCCCCGCCCCCUUCCCUCCCCCUUCUUCCCCCUUCCCUCCCCCGCCCCCAGCCGCCGCCGCCGCCGCCUCCUCCCCGCCCCCCCGCACCCCUCCCUCCGGCCCUCUGCUCGGCUGGUUCCACUGCGCAGUGGCGCGCCCGGCUCCGGCCUCGUCACGUGGCCGUCUAGACACCCUGUCGCUUUAAAAAAAAAAAAAAAAAAAGCGAUUGUGUUUCGCAAACAACAGAUCGGGUUUCUAAAAGCUAUUUCUCCCCCCAACCCCCCGCCACCACCACCCCCUCCCGGGUCUGUAGAUGGGGUACCGACGGAGGAGGGAGAGAGGUGGGGGGCAGAGAAGCUCCCAGAAUCGAUUGAGCCCCGGCCGGAGCCAUGGAGAAAUUGGAAAAGCAGGGAGCACCGAGCGGGCUUCGCUGCGAGUUUUGGAGCUGAGCGAGCGGGUCGGUGGCCCGAUUUCGACCCUGCUGGGCUUCGCGGUGGCCAUCUCGCGCGCGCUCGCUCUAGCGCUUCAUUCAUUGGUUUUGUUUUAAAGGCCCUGGCGGCGGAUCCCUUGGCCGCGCCGGAGGGCAAGGGGAGGAGAGCGCCGUCUCGGUUUAAAAGACAUUUAUACCGGACUGGACCGAGGCCCAGGGAAGUGUGCGCUGAGGGGAACAGCCGCCGAGGGCGGGGAGGCGGCGUGAAUAUGACCUCAGCGGCGGCCGCGCGCUCCCUCCCGCCCUCUCCGCUCCGGGCUCCGGUUUCUAGGACUGCCUGGAGAAGUGUGUCUUGUGCACAGCUAUGGAAUGCAUUUGGCCGACUGACGAGCUGCGAGGGGCAGCAUCCUGGCGGGAGAAGGGGAGCGGGAGGCGGGGGCUCGCCUGCGCGCCGCCGGCAGGUUUCCUCCCGAGCCCGGAAGACCUCCGCCACCCGCCACCCUGCCUCCUGGCGCGGGAAGGUUACCCAGCGAGCAGACCUGCCCUGCCUAGGGCAUUCAUUUGCAUGCAGGGCCUGUUUCUGGGCCUCGUAG
rnacentral:lncRNA from 1 species